GACGAACGCUGGCGGCGUGCUUAACACAUGCAAGUCGUACGGUAAGGCCCUUUCGGGGGUACACGAGUGGCGAACGGGUGAGUAACACGUGAGUAACCUGCCCACAACUUUGGGAUAACGCUAGGAAACUGGUGCUAAUACUGGAUAUGUGCUCCUGCUGCAUGGUGGGGGUUGGAAAGCUCCGGCGGUUGUGGAUGGACUCGCGGCCUAUCAGCUUGUUGGUGGGGUAGUGGCCUACCAAGGCGGCGACGGGUAGCCGGCCUGAGAGGGUGACCAGCCACAUUGGGACUGAGAUACGGCCCAGACUCCUACGGGAGGCAGCAGUGGGGAAUAUUGCACAAUGGGCGCAAGCCUGAUGCAGCAACGCCGCGUGCGGGAUGACGGCCUUCGGGUUGUAAACCGCUUUCAGCAGGGACGAAGCUUUUUGUGACGGUACCUGCAGAAGAAGCACCGGCUAGCUACGUG
rnacentral:rRNA from 1 species